rnacentral:rRNA from 1 species
GUCCCAGUUCGGAUUGCAGGCUGCAACCGCCUGCAUGAAGUUGGAAUCGCUAGUAAUCGCGGAUCAGCAUGCCGCGGUGAAUACGUUCCCGGGCCUUGUACACACCGCCCGUCACACCAUGAGAGUCGGGAACACCCGAAGUCCGUAGCCUGACCGCAAGGGGGGCGCGGCCGAAGGUGGGUUCGAUAAUUGGGGUGAAGUCGUAACAAGGUAGC